rnacentral:rRNA from 1 species
AUGGUGGGCACUCUAAGGAGACUGCCGGUGGACAAACCGGAGGAAGGUGGGGAUGACGUCAAGUCAUCAUGGCCCUUACGGCCUGGGCUACACACGUGCUACAAUGGUCGGUACAAAGGGUUGCCAAGCCGCGAGGUGGAGCUAAUCCCAUAAAACCGAUCGUAGUCCGGAUCGCAGUCUGCAACUCGACUGCGUGAAGUCGGAAUCGCUAGUAAUCGUGAAUCAGAAUGUCACGGUGAAUACGUUCCCGGGCCUU